UACGGAGGGGGGCUAGCGUUGUUCGGAAUUACUGGGCGUAAAGCGUACGUAGGCGGCUUUUGUAAGUUAGAGGUGAAAAGCCCGGAGCUCAACUCCGGAAUUGCCUUUAAGACUGCAUCGCUUUGAAUCAUGGAGAGGUUAGUGGAAUUCCGAGUGUAGAGGUGAAAUUCGUAGAUAUUAGGAAGAACACCAGUGGCGAA
rnacentral:rRNA from 1 species